AUGCGGAUAUAUCACGUUGAAGCACCAGUUCUUAUGUGAUCACUAAAGUUAAGCAAUGCUGAGUGUGGUCAGUACCUAGAUGGGUGACUACUUUGGAAUACUAGGUACUGUAAG